AUAGCCUCACGCAGGAGGAAAACCAUUGGAAACAGUCACAAGAACUCCAGAAAGGCGGAUAGAACUUUUGUGGUUAUAUUCAUUCACACCCCAAGCAAAAAUCAAUAUUAGUAAACUCAAAGUAUUUUGAUAAAAUAUAUUAAUCAUAAAGAGAAAGUGUAUAAAGAAGUGCAGUAAAAAAUUGUUUUUUGUUAAGUUCAUUUCAAAUUACGCAGAUAAAUUGAACUUGUGUGACUCAAAAUAUUUGCAUUUUAUUCAAUGAGAAUUUCAUAGCCGCUUCGAGGUAUUCAUUAUGGUGAAUCAAAAUAAAAAGCACACCAAGCUCAAAAGCAGUGGCGUAAAGAAAGUAAGCAAUAUUGAUCAAAACUCUGCGCCAACGAGCAAUAUGAGUGUAGAACUUAUAGAUGAGGAACCAAAUUCAGGAUUUUCAAACUACUUGAAGUCAGAUCAAGGUGUGGAAAUAAUGCGUUUGUUUGUUAUUGCAAACUCCUUACUUGCGGUUAUUACAUUUGCAUGGCCCAGCAUAAAGGAUACUUUUGAAAUUAUCAGAGAUUUUAUCAGUGCCAGCAACACACAAAAUCUACUGGAAUUCUAAUUAGAUGCCACAAAUAAUAUUAUUAUUGUGUACACAAUUUGCAACUCACAUAAUAAUGUUGACAACUUGGAUGUUUUCAAUUAGUGCAAAAGCGAUGUAUAUCCAACAAAUAUGUAUAAACAUAUGUGGCAAAUAUUAAUUAAAAACAAUUAAGUUGCAUUACCGCAGACUUAAUAGCUAUAUACAAUUGUGUUGUGUGCCGUUUUUGAAUUCUUCAACACAAAAUAGUGGAAAAAUGAUUGGUGUGGCAGUGCGAUAUUUCCUCUUCUUUGGAAUUAUGUUUUGGUAUAGCAAUGGUGUUUGGAAUUUAAUAAAUGGCUACUUCCAGCAGCAAUUUAAAACUUAUCUCACUGAAGAAAUGAAAGUUAGCAAUCGAAAGUUAUCAACCAACCCGUCCGACACAUCAGUGCCACGCAGUCCGAUAGACACGAAUAAAUGUAUGGCGAAAACUGAGGAUAUUAUUAUGAUUUCUACUGAUAAUCCGCUCAUCUGCCGCGAAGCUGCAAAUGAGAGGGUAUCAAUCAUUACCACCAACGACGACGUGUCACAAAACUCAGUGGACACUCGUGACUGUGAUAAUGAAAAUACCCAAGAAUGUACUAAGGGCAGAAACUUUCAACCAAAUGAUUCGGAAAGGUCAAUAGCUUGUCGUAAUGAUAAUAAUGAUGGUGGUACAUGCGACAUGUCUCUGGGAAAUUUGUGAGCAUAUAGGUUGAAGAAAAUGUAUAUGAGUUGUGAUGGAAAAGGAAAUCCGGCCACGAUGAUACAGUACAUAGUUAAAUCUACAGGUUGAUACACAACAAUUAUAUAUAAAUCAAACACAUCCAUCAAUGUUAGGAGUGCAUAAAAUGAGAGGGAGAGAGAAAAAACUGGGAAAAUCACUAAAUAACAUUGAAUUAUGCAGACAAGAGAGAUAUAGAGAGAAAUUUCAAGUGAAACUAUUACAAACACACAAUGAUUUCAUUAUCAUCGACAAAUUCAUACUCAUCGCCUUUGAUGGAGAUGCCGUAAAAAACAUUUUUCCUUUCAUCUCGGAUAUACCAAGUUAAACUCCAUCUGUGUAGGAAAGAAAUUGUUUGGAAUUUACAUGGUGUUAAAUGUGAGAAAAAAGCAAAAGUUUAAUACUGCAGUUUUGAGAUUCAUUGUUAGUUAUUCGACUUAUUAAUCAGUAAUUUUUGUAUAAUCUAUUUUAAGAAAUUCGCAAAUGUUAAAAUAAAAACAUUUGUAAAAUAAACUGUAAUUCGACGUUCUUCAAUAAACCUAUGCUAUUGAUUAAA